CCUAUAAUACCCAGACAGUACCCCUAUAAUACUAUAAUACCCAGGCAGUACCCCUAUAAUACCCAGGCAGUGCCCCUAUAAUACCCAGACAGUGCCCCUAUAAUACUAUAAUACCCAGGCAGUGCCCCUAUAAUACCCAGACAGUACCCCUAUAAUACUAUAAUACCCAGGCAGUGCCCCUAUAAUACCCAGGCAGUGCCC